rnacentral:lncRNA from 1 species
ACAAGUUUGAAUAUAUCUAUACCAUAUAAUAAUGUGAUUGACUGAGUUGAUGUCACGAGUAAACUCAACGCCAAUUUAAUCUUGGAAAUUACUAAAAACCAUUUAUAAAAAAAGUAAUUAAAUGUUAAUACUUUUACUAUUUUUAUAUGAAAUGUUUAAAUAAAACAACUAAAAAGAUCAAAUGUUGAGGGAUUAAACCCAAACUUGAUGAGGAUUUAUUCAUAA